rnacentral:rRNA from 2 species
GCAUAUCAAUAAGCGGAGGAAAAGAAACCAACAGGGAUUGCCCUAGUAACGGCGAGUGAAGCGGCAACAGCUCAAAUUUGAAAUCUGGCUCUUUCAGAGUCCGAGUUGUAAUUUGCAGAGGGCGCUUUGGCUUUGGCAGCGGUCCAAGUUCCUUGGAACAGGACGUCACAGAGGGUGAGAAUCCCGUACGUGGUCGCUAGCUAUUGCCGUGUAAAGCCCCUUCGACGAGUCGAGUUGUUUGGGAAUGCAGCUCUAAAUGGGAGGUAAAUUUCUUCUAAAGCUAAAUAUUGGCCAGAGACCGAUAGCGCACAAGUAGAGUGAUCGAAAGAUGAAAAGCACUUUGGAAAGAGAGUCAAACAGCACGUGAAAUUGUUGAAAGGGAAGCGCUUGCAGCCAGACUUGCUUGCAGUUGCUCAUCCGGGCUUUUGCCCGGUGCACUCUUCUGUAGGCAGGCCAGCAUCAGUUUGGGCGGUGGGAUAAAGGUCUCUGUCACGUACCUUCCUUCGGGUUGGCCUUAUAGGGGAGACGCCAUACCACCAGCCUGGACUGAGGUCCGCGCAUCUGCUAGGAUGCUGGCGUAAUGGCUGUAAGCGGCCCGUCUUGAAACACGGACCAAGGAGUCUAACAUCUAUGCGAGUGUUUGGGUGUCAAGCCCGAACGCGUAAUGAAAGUGAACGGAGGUGGGAACCCGCAAGGGUGCACCAUCGACCGAUCCUGAAGUUUACGGAAGGAUUUGAGUAAGAGCAUGGCUGUUGGGACCCGAAAGAUGGUGAACUAUGCUUGAAUAGGGUGAAGCCAGAGGAAACUCUGGUGGAGGCUCGCAGCGGUUCUGACGUGCAAAUCGAUCGUCAAAUUUGGGCAUAGGGGCGAAAGACUAAUCGAACUAUCUAGUAGCUGGGUUCCUGCCGAA